rnacentral:rRNA from 1 species
UACGUAGGGGGCAAGCGUUGUCCGGAUUUAUUGGGCGUAAAGAGCGUGUAGGCGGCCGUGUAGGUCUGACGUGAAAUCUGGGGGCUCAACCUCCAGCUGUCGUUGGAAACCGCUCGGCUAGAGUCCGGAAGAGGAGAGUGGAAUUCCUGGUGUAGCGGUGAAAUGCGCAGAUAUCAGGAAGAACACCUAUGGCGAAGGCAGCUCUCUGGGACGGUACUGACGCUGAGACGCGAAAGCGUGGGGAGCGAACAGG